rnacentral:rRNA from 1 species
UGCUUCCAUCUGGAAGAAUCUGGAGACAGGUGCUGCAUGGCUGUCGUCAGCUCGUGUCGUGAGAUGUUGGGUUAAGUCCCGCAACGAGCGCAACCCUUGCUUAGUUGCCAGCAGUUCGGCUGGGCACUCUAAAGGGACUGCCGGUGUUAAACCGGAGGAAGGUGGGGAUGACGUCAAGUCCUCAUGGCCUUUAUGACCAGGGCUACACACGUACUACAAUGGCCGAUACAAAGGGCAGCGACACUGCGAGGUGAAGCCAAUCCCGUAAAAUCGGUCUCAGUCCGGAUUGGAGUCUGCAACUCGACUCCAUGAAGUUGGAAUCGCUAGUAAUCGUGGAUCAGCAUGCCACGGUGAAUACGUUCCCGGGCCUU